rnacentral:rRNA from 1 species
UACGUAGGGUGCGAGCGUUAAUCGGAUUUACUGGGCGUAAAGCGUGCGCAGGCGGCCCGUUAAGACAGGUGUGAAAUCCCUGGGCCCAACCUAGGAAUUGCGCUUGUGACUGGCGGGCUCGAGUACGGUAGAGGGGGGUGGAAUUCCUGGUGUAGCAGUGAAAUGCGUAGAGAUCAGGAGGAACACCGAUGGCGAAGGCAGCCCCCUGGGCCUGUACUGACGCUCAUGCACGAAAGCGUGGGGAGCAAACAGG